rnacentral:rRNA from 1 species
GAUGAACGCUAGCGAUAGGCUUAACACAUGCAAGUCGAGGGGCAGCACAAGGUAGCUUGCUAUCUGGGUGGCGACCGGCGCACGGGUGCGUAACGCGUAUGCAACUUGCCCUAUACAGGAGGAUAACCCGUCGAAAGACGGACUAAUACUGCGUAUGCUCACAACUUGGCAUCAAGUGGUGAGGAAAGAAAUUCGGUAUAGGAUAGGCAUGCGUCCCAUUAGCUUGUUGGUGAGGUAACGGCUCACCAAGGCAACGAUGGGUAGGGGAACUGAGAGGUUUAUCCCCCACACUGGUACUGAGACACGGACCAGACUCCUACGGGAGGCAGCAGUGAGGAAUAUUGGUCAAGGGGCGCGAGCCUGAACCAGCCAAGUCGCGUGAAGGAGGACUGUCUUAUGGAUGGUAAACUUCUUUUAUACGGGAAUAACAAGAGUCACGGGUGACUCCCUGCAUGUACCGGAUGAAUAAGCAUCGGCUAACUCCGUG